rnacentral:rRNA from 1 species
AGAGCGAACGCUGGCGGCAGGCCUAAUACAUGCAAGUCGAACGGAUCCUUCGGGAUUAGUGGCGGACGGGUGAGUAACACGUGGGAACGUGCCCUUUGGUUCGGAACAACUCAGGGAAACUUGAGCUAAUACCGGAUGUGCCCUUCGGGGGAAAGAUUUAUCGCCAUUGGAGCGGCCCGCGUCUGAUUAGCUAGUUGGUGGGGUAAAGGCCUACCAAGGCUACGAUCAGUAGCUGGUCUGAGAGGAUGAUCAGCCACACUGGGACUGAGACACGGCCCAGACUCCUACGGGAGGCAGCAGUAGGGAAUCUUGCGCAAUGGGCGAAAGCCUGACGCAGCCAUGCCGCGUGAAUGAUGAAGGUCUUAGGAUUGUAAAAUUCUUUCAGUGGGGACGAUAAUGACGGUACCACAGAAGAACGCCCCGGCUAACUUCGUGCCAGCAGCCGC